rnacentral:rRNA from 1 species
UACGAGGGGAGCUAGCGUUGUUCGGAAUUACUGGGCGUAAAGGGCGCGUAGGCGGCGCCAUAAGUCAGAUGUGAAAGCCCCGGGCUUAACCUGGGAGGUGCAUUUGAUACUGUGGUGCUAGAGAUCGAGAGAGGAAAGUGGAAUUACGAGUGUAGAGGUGAAAUUCGUAGAUAUUCGUAAGAACACCAGUGGCGAAGGCGGCUUUCUGGCUCGAUACUGACGCUAAGGCGCGAAAGCGUGGGGAGCAAACAGG